rnacentral:rRNA from 1 species
GACGAACGCUGGCGGCAUGCUUAACACAUGCAAGUCGAACGGUAAGGCCCUUCGGGGUACACGAGUGGCGAGCGGGUGAGUAACACGUGGGUGAUCUGCCCUGCACUUCGGGAUAAGCCUGGGAAACUGGGUCUAAUACCGGAUAGGACCACUGCCUGCAUGGGUGGUGGUGGAAAGCUUUUGCGGUGUGGGAUGGGCCCGCGGCCUAUCAGCUUGUUGGUGGGGUGAUGGCCUACCAAGGCGACGACGGGUAGCCGGCCUGAGAGGGUGACCGGGCACACUGGGACUGGGAUACGGCACAGACUCCUACGGGAGGCAGCAGUGGGGAAUAUUGCACAAGGGGCGCAAGCCUGAUGCAGCGACGCCGCGUGAGGGAUGACGGCCUUCGGGUUGUAAACCUCUUUCAGCACCGACGAAGCGCAAGUGACGGUAGGUGCAGAAGAAGGACCGGCCAACUACGUGCCAGCCGCCGCGGUAA